rnacentral:lncRNA from 1 species
AUUGUGCAGACAGAUGCAGGCCCUCUUCCACACACAGCCCUUCAAAAACUGUAAAUAGCGCUGUUACCUUCCCUGAGCUGUCUCUUCAAACUGAACUCAUCUGGCUCCAUGGAGUAUAUCUGGGAACAAGAAUUAAAAGCAAGGAGAGGGCUGGCCCCGUGGCUGAGUGGUUAAGUUCGCGCGCUCUGCUGCAGGCGGCCCAGUGUUUCAUUGGUUCAAAUCCUGGGCGCGGACAUAGCACUGCUCAUCAAACCACGCUGAGGCGGCGUCCCACAUACCACAACUAGAAGAACCCACAACGAAGAAUAUACAACUAUGUACCGGGGGAAUUUGGGGAGGAAAAGGAAAAAAUAAAAUCUUAAAAAAAAA